rnacentral:rRNA from 1 species
GAUGAACGCUGGCGGCGUGCUUAACACAUGCAAGUCGAACGGAAAGGCGCUAAGCUUGCUUGUCUCUCGUUUGCCGAACGGGUGAGAGACACGUGAGUAUCCCCCCCUUGUCUUAGUGAUAACACCAGGAAACAGGGGCUCUAAUCCCGUAUGAUCUCCUGCACCACGGUGGUGGUUGGAAAGAUACGGCGGUUGGGGAUCGUCUCGAGGCUUAUCCGCUUCUUGGUGUGGUAGUUGCUUACCAGGGCUUCGACGGGUAGCCGGCCUGAGAGGGUUACCGGCCACAUUGGGACUGAGAUACGGCCCAGACUCCUACGGGAGGCAGCAGUGGGGAAUAUUGCACAAUGGGCGGAAGCCUGAUGCAGCAACGCCGCGUGCGGGAUGACGGGCUUCGGGUUGUGAACCGCUUUCGCCUGUGACGAAGCGUGAGUGACGGUAAUGGGUAAAGAAGCACCGGCUAACUACGUG